GGGGGUGCACCGGGUUCGAUUGCCGGUGAGCGAAAAGAUAAGCAUACCGUAGACGGAGUGACUACGAUAAAACAUUCCACCUAAACUUAAAUGCAGAUAACAAUGCAUACGCUCUUGCAGCGUAACUUCGUUUUUUAACGAAACGUCGCGCCUGAUUUAUCCGUCGGUUGGGGUCGCGGCGUCAUCCAGACGGAAAACUCCUUAGGGGAUCGGGUAGUGUUUUUUAAGGAGUAUUUAGCUACCUGCGUACUGUAAAGCGUGUUCCUCCGCGUUGUAGGAAUAAGAAAAGUAGACGAACUAAGUAUGUAGAAAGUUUUUUGGCAGCCGAGUAAGACGUGGGUUCAAUUCCCACCACCUCCACCA
rnacentral:tmRNA from 1 species